rnacentral:lncRNA from 1 species
AUGGAGAGAAAGAGCAGAGCUGCUGGAGUAAUGUGAGAUCUUACACCUGGUGAGACACUGCGGGGACCUGCUUGCUGAUGUAAUGACUACCACGUAUGACGGGAGAAAAUGAUGCAAACCAGCUCAGCACAUCUCUCCUAGGAAGGUGGAUCAGCACUGGCAGCCAGCAGAAACUUCAGCGUGGUAGACCUGAGGAGAUUUAGAAGCCCUGGCAGCCCUCUGAAAGUGGCCCUGGGGGCCAGAAAGCUGGGCGAGGAGAGCAGGAAAAUGUGCGCUUGCACUGCCGGUGUUGGGAGCCAAGCAGACAUGAGUCAGCCUUGAGCUGGAAGCUGUGCAGCUGUCGUCAGUGCAGUGCUGCUGCCGAGCCCUGUUGGGAGGCAAGGUGUGCUCAUCCAGCUCGUGCUGCACCAGCAUGACCCUGUGUGGUUGGGGGAAGAGUUUGGGCUGUGGUUCAGAGCUGGGACAGAGCUUGCUUGCCUCUGCCUGCCAAAGACAACGUGGACGUGCUCUGAGUCUGUGUUGUUUUUCUCAUAAUAAAUGUUUGAUUAAAG